UUAUGAGUGGUGUUUGUUGGAUGUCAGUGCAAACGCAACAGUUUUGUAAAAUACCCAAUUUUACAGGUCUGUUGCGUGUGCUUUGUUAUCAAAUAAGAAAUGGUUGGGCGCACAUGAACCCUCUUUUAUUAGAGAAAUUACAGCGUAAGCUGGGUUAUACCUUUA
rnacentral:sRNA from 1 species